GCGGGGAUAGCUCAGUUGGGAGAGCGUCAGACUGAAGAUCUGAAGGUCGCGUGUUCGAUCUUUCUUUUUUUU
rnacentral:tRNA from 1 species